CUCUCGCGAGACUCCCACUCAGCUCGGAAGGCUGUUCCACUAGCGCUCGCGAGAAGGAAGGCACCGUCGCCACCGCACCUUGCAGGAGCUGUCCAAGGUGCUAGGUGUUCGGCCAUUCAGGUGCACUGCUGACUAUCCCAGAAAUAAACCAAGUUUAUGCUGGUUUACAGAGCUAUGGAGAGAACCAGUGAACCUGUGAGGCCUGAGAGAGAGAGACUACUUAAAUAAAAGGGGGCCUGGGGAGAUGGUGACACACUGCUCACACUGCUCCCCUAGGAUGAACAUCUGGAAUCCACGUGGAAUUGAGGACCAAGGUUCAAUCCCAGAUGAGGAGCAGAUGGAAUCCUGAGUGAAUAUGUGUGUCAUUGUUAGGAGCACAACCAUAUCAAGGACUCCAAUGUCGCCGAUAUGUGGAAACGGCAAAGCCUCUCCCUGAUACAACUAAAGGUGUUCGGGAACUUUUAACCUUUAGCUGUAGCCAAUGUGUGCACAGAGUAUCGACUGCAGCCCUCCUCAUCAAGCCGUUGACCACAGCUUCCUCCUCCAGAUUGCUUCCCUACAGAGAUUUCCUGGAACUCAUGGAGAUUAGCUAACCAGCCUUCUCCUCAUCUGCUGCAUAAAAUAAAUGUGCUGAGUAUUCAGGCUCUUGGUGUAUCUCCACCAGAGUGCACAGCCUACCCAAUCCCAGCUUUUCUGUGUGCGUGCCUGUCAUUUCUCCAUCCUCCCAGCGAUCCAGUUAGGUCAGUCCCUAAGCUGUGCAGGUCAUGACGUAUGUAAAUAAAAAUAAAUAUUUUUCGAAAGAAGGUAGUUCCACACAGACAUGCUGAGAGGGCUGUUUCCUGAGUAAUUCUUUAUUCUAUCAGCUGACAAUUAACACUAUCGAUUACCUACAUGUAGACAUACAUACGUUGCAUAUGUAUCUGGUGCAUAAUAAAAAGUCAAUGAAUAUUUAGCUCCUACUGUAUAGCAGCAAUGGGAGACCCACUUCUGAGCCAAACCAUGUAAUAACAUUAACAUUUUAAGCUAGAGGGGUGUCACAUCUGCUCCCAUGCCUUUAUUCAAAGCAUGUCAUAAACUUAGACCUAAAAUGGGUCCAGAGAGGAAUUUUCCCCCAUGUAGAUGAUAAGGAGAGUCACAUGACAAAUAGCAAUGCUUAAUCUCAUUGUAGGGAAGGACAAAUUAUUGGGAGCAUUAAUCUAGUCAGUCACCCACAGGGCCAGCUCCAAGCUGCUUAUCUGUGGGGAGCCGACAGAAG